rnacentral:rRNA from 1 species
GUCUACAGCCAUGCCACCCUAAACAAGCCUGAUCCCGUCUGAUCUCGGAAGCUAAGCAGGGUCGGUCCUGCUUAGUACUUGGCUGGGAGACCAUCUAGGAAGUCCAGGUGCUGUAGGCA